UUUCAUGAGAGUUUGAUCCUGGCUCAGGACGAACGCUGGCGGCGUGCCUAAUACAUGCAAGUCGAGCGAACCGACGAAGUGCUUGCACUUCUGACGUUAGCGGCGGACGGGUGAGUAACACGUAAGGAACCU
rnacentral:rRNA from 1 species